rnacentral:lncRNA from 1 species
CUAGUAGUUAAUCAUAAAAGUAAAAAAGAGUAUUUCUGAUGAUGUUUAAUAGAAUUGAGUGCAAAAGCCAAGCUCAGUUCAAGAAAUCAAACUACGCGAGCUUUUCUUGUGGAUAUAAUAUGCGACAUUUGAAACAUACCAAUAAAUUUGCCGAUGGCAGGUGAAGUGAAAUCAACAUGGUAUUGCAGAUAAACUUCAUGAUCUUCACGCAACACACCUUGGUGGAAAAUAUAUACAGUAGAAGUGUACGCUUGGUACACGGUGCUCGGUAUUCGACAAGCCUGGAGAAUACAAUAAACAUCAUUUUAGCUUAUUUUCUUCUUUAAAGGUCUGGAGAUUAAAAUAUACAUGAUUUUAGCUCAUUAUCUUCAUUGAUAUUAUUGGUAUAAUCUAAUCCUUCCUACCAAACAUGUCCGAAAAUAUUAACAAAAGGAACCAAGUACUAACUUGUAACAUGCACAAGGGAGCUUUCCGUUAUGAAUAAUGAAAUCUGCAAAACAGUUUGAAGCCAUUCUUCGACAAGCAAAACAGGGAUGUUAUCAUCUGAGCUUCUCUUACUCAUCUCCCACAAGAUACAUUAACAAGUCCUAUUUCAUCAUGCAUAAUUGAUGGACAGAUAGGAUUUAUCAAUGAAGGAACCAAGCUUUUUCUAGGUAAGAACAAUUAUAUAUAGUUGUUGAAACUGAUUACCCACGAUAGAAUUAACUAUAAUGUUUUACAAUAACUGCCGAAAGAACCAGAACCGAGCAAGAUAUUUUUAGUUAAUCACUCCCAUCCAGUAAUAUUUUCUCAAGAAAGCGAGGAUUAACAUCCUCCUAUUCCAUAUCAAUGUACCUGAUAUGUGAUCAUUAAAGAACUCGAGAAACUUGUAUAAAAGUGUUAGAGAGUUGAGAAACUUCAGUUUUAACUAUAAAAACAGCGUGGAAGAAUGUAGGAGAUAGGUGUUCAACAUUCAUGCAACUACUUUUCUGAGAAACUGACUUUGUCUUUUAGAAACAAGACGAGACAACUGGAGAAACAAAAUGAGGGCAAUGGCUAGAGGAGCUCCCUUCAGUCCAAGCACAGAAAAAGUGGGAUGUAGAACUAUCUCCUGCAUCAUUCACUCAGUCACAGUAGCAAAAAACUUUGUAUUCUACUGAGUGAUUAAAUGAAUGAGUCAGCAGCUAAUUCAACCCCUAAUCUCGUCCAUGAGUGGACUGAAGUAAGCUCUCGUAGACCAUUUCCCAGUGCAUCCCAAAGAUACCUGUGAGAAAAAAGAAAAAUUCAUAAAGAUGGAUCAACUUGAAAAGAACCGUUCAACUAAAAUUUUAACAUACUUCAAUCAAAGUUAGCUCCAAUACUUGUCAAGGCAGAAAUGGAAGACAAUCAUCAUGGCAAAUAGCGCCACAAAAAUUCCCAAUGAAUAUAUGUACAUUCUAUUCAAAUUGUAAGACUAAAAACAGCUAAAUUAUAUCGAAUUUUGCUUACCAGUGACUUAAUGCUGAGAAAGAGAUAUCCUCCAUCUAUAUUAAAGAAGCAAAAAUCAACUUGUCUUUUGCCUUUUUCACUAUCAAAUAAAAUAAGUGAAAGAAUGGAUAAAAGAUACAUAGACAUUGGUUCUCCCUAUUUAACUACUUCCGUACUUUCCAAGUACAUAAUAUUACUAACAAUUACAGAAACUUCAAAUCACGGAGAGUACAUAUAAUUAUCACCACAAGCCUCAGAAAGUAAAGAAAAAUAAACAAUACAAACAAAUAUAUGAUCGUGACGUUUCCUCUCUUUUUUGGCAUGAAAACGGAAAAAUGAGUACAAGAAAUCUGCUCAAAGUAAUAUACUAGAACCCAAUAACUAGAAGAACAUGAGAGGAAAUGAAAUAAUCGAGAUAAUUUAUAUAAUGCCAUCAAUUAAAUUUAGCUUACAAAUAUAUCGAAGCAAUUCAACAAAAUGAAAAGACCAACAAAAACAGGAGUAUAAAGGAAAAACAAUCAAGAACAGUGACAGUUGUAAAAUUAUUUUAACAAACUUAAUUAAGUUCAAUAAAAAAUAAUUGAAAUUUGAACUUUAUGGAUGAUUGAAAGAAAGCCAUAGAAAUCAUAAAUUUCAAGAAUCUUUAACAGUGACCAUACCUUUUUGAUGAUGAAAUUCACUAUGAAUUCAAAAUCUCUUUCCGAAAACCCUAAUUCCAGGGCAGAUAUAACAAAAAUGAAAAACCCACCUUACAGAUAUAAUUUAUAAUGAAAAUCAGGUGAAACAAAAAAUCAGUCAGUCCAUAAAAUGUGACACCAUUAUGAAUUUAUGAUCAUAAAAUAGAAAACAGAAAAAGUAAUAAUAACAAUAGUAAUUGUCGGGAGAAACAAAUGGGUUUCUUGUGAAAAAACACCCCCCAAAAGUUGGAAAUAUAUUGAAAUCCUAGGAAUAAUAAAAAGUGAAAAAAUUAAUACCGAUAUUCAGCUACUACUUCUUGUCUGUUAAUAAAGUGAAGGUUCAAAGAACAGAAGAAACCCUAAUCUCCAAUGAAGUUAAAUAAUGUGCAUUUUCAUUCUUGAUGAAACUACAGAAGGGUUUCAGUGUCACUCCACUGGCUAUCAAAAUGAUAAACAAAAGCAGGAUAAGGUAGCAUAUGACAUGAUCAAUUCAUAUAUUCUAAGGAAUAACAAUAAUAGGAGAUGCAAAAUUGUGUAGGGUAUCGCAUAAAAUACGGAACACCACUGAAUAAUAAGUAAAUCCAAAGGGGAAGAUGAUGAGUCAUUUUCCUCAUGAGAAUCAGAGAAGACGAAAGCGACCCUCACACUACACCUUUCUCCCUCACAUACAGACACGAAGACAGCAGAGAGAGAGAGAGUAUUUACAGACUGAUAAAAGUAAACACUUCCACAUAGUAGAAUCUGAGGUGAAUUGCUCUGAAAAGGGUAAAUUAAUGGAAAUCAUCUCUCUAGAUCUCAUUUUACCGAGAGAGAGAGAGAUAGAUACAUAGAUAGAUAGAGUGUGUGUGUGUGUGUGUGUGAGAGAGAGAGAGAGAGAGAGAGAGAUGGUGGAGUCAACAUUGUCA